GCAGCUCAGUGGAAGAGCAUCUGCCUAGAAUGUAGUAAGUCUUAGGUUCAAUUCCUAGUGUA
rnacentral:tRNA from 1 species